UACGUAGGGGGCUAGCGUUGUCCGGAAUCAUUGGGCGUAAAGCGCGUGUAGGCGGUCCGGUAAGUCCGCUGUGAAAGUCGGGGGCUCAACCCUCGAAUGCCGGUGGAUACUGUCGGGCUAGAGUGCGGAAGAGGCGAGUGGAAUUCCUGGUGUAGCGGUGAAAUGCGCAGAUAUCAGGAAGAACACCCGUGGCGAAGGCGGCUCUCUGGGACGUGACUGACGCUGAGACGCGAAAGCGUGGGGAGCAAACAGG
rnacentral:rRNA from 1 species